rnacentral:lncRNA from 1 species
GGAGGAUACCCGUCAUCGGUUGAGAUGAACAUAUCAAGGAUAAACCACCCGAACAACAAGAAUAAGAAUUACAUCUAUCAGAUGCUGGAUAGAAUACCAUCAAAGAGAAUAUCCGUCAUCAGUUAGGAUGAACAUAUCAAGGAUAGGCUCUGAAGGGGGAGCAUAGGGAUUACAUCUAUCAGUUACUGGAUAGAAUACCAA